GCGUCUGGGCGGCUGCGCUGCUGUUGUGGUAGGACUGGAGACAGAGUCUUGCUCUAUUGCCCAGGCUGCAACUGGUGUGAUCUCGGCUCACUACAACCUCUGCCUCCUGGGUUCAAGCGAUUCUCCUGCCUCAAGCUCCCAAGUAGCUGGGAUUACAAGCAUGCACCACCAUGCCUGGCUAAUUUUUGUAUUUUUAGUGGAGACGGGGUUUCGCCACAUUGGCCAGGGUGGUCUUGAACUCCUGACCUCAAGUGAUCCACCUGCCUUGGCCUCCCAAAGUGCUGGGAUUAUAAGCAUGAGCCACUGCACCCAGCCUUAUACUGAACUUUCAAUGGGUUCAAUUCCACUAGGAGCAUAAAGGCCACUGCAUAUGAGUUGUGGAAAGAAGAGAUUAGAAGAAGGAAGAACUUGAGAUGAGUUCCUCCCUUCAACAUUCUGUCUCCUCCUACCUAGCAUCUUCUUUCUUUUAGUCUUUCUAGAAUGUCCAUCUGUUUUUGGCCAUUGCGGAGAGAGAAGCUGAGCUUUAAAGGAGUAGGAGCUUCAAAGGCGUAGGAGCUUCAAAAUUCUUGUUUCUUCAUGUUUGAUCACCCUUCUAAACCUGUCUUCUGUUCCUUCUGCUAUUCUUUUUUCUUAGAGCAUAGGAAAGGGGAGCUUUUAAAUUAAUACUUAAAGCAUGGAAAAAAAGAACUUGAGAAGAAAGUAAAACAAGGGAGAUGAGGCUAGUAAAGUAAGGAAAAUGAAGAGGAAGAGGAGGAAGGGUUAGCUUCUAAAUUCCAAGUCAAAUUGAUAUGGAACAGGCAAGCCGCUUGUCUUACUUAAACUUCAGAAAAGGAUCUGCUGAAACUUGAUAGAAAUGGAAAGGGAAAUCCUUGGGGUGGGGAACCUCCAAACAUUAGUAAUGAUAUUGAACAACUCAAAGUAUUGAGGAAAUCUGCAGGCUACAUGCCUGAAGAUUACCCAUGCAGAUAGACCAAAAGGAUUAGAAUUAUCUGUUGAUAUUAGUAAUAUUUAUUGACAUCUAGCUAGUAUUGGUAAUUUUAAGUUUUAGAUUAAUUUCUUUGGUAAUAGCUAUGAUAUAUUUUAUAGACAAGAAUUAUAUCUAUAGGCUUGCUAUCAUAGGCUCUUUUAAUCAGCAUUAAUUUAGUCUACUGAUUUUUAGCACAUUUGAAUCAUUCACUUAUGCUAGGUAACUCAUUGCAAAAUAAAAAGAUGAUUCCUGUAUGUAUGGCAGCUAUACAUUAAGGAGGAGUCUACCAGAAUAUGAAAAAGUCAGCUGACCUAAAUAUUGCUGAGACAAAGGAAAACCCACUCCCUUGGAGGAGCAUGACCUUUUCCUGUAAUUCUUCCCACUGCUGUUGUUGAGCUCCUUGGAUCCUGGCUCCUGGACACCAUCAUCAAGAAGACUUUAUGGAUGGGCUGUCCACCCACUGAGAGAAGAGGAGCAUCAGCUACAGUUUCUCUCUAGAUUGCCUUCUUCAUUUUGAGUAAUGACUGUCAGCAGGGUCAGAUUAAACACAAAACAACUGGACAAUUGCUUGGAGGACUAAACUAUAAGGGCACUAACAUGUCAAUAGUAGGCUAACACAUCCAUGGAAAAUAUAUUUACCAGCUCUUCUCUCAGGGAGGAUUCUGUGUGGGGUUGGAAGUAAUGAUUUGUUAAAUUCCUUAGGGGUAGAAAGUAGGGCAUAAUCAGAAUAUAGAGGAAUAUGCUGUUUGACUUCAGGGUUUCUGUUUUUCUUACUAGGAUAUAUAAAACAGGGACUCUAGCUAGAUUGUUUAUGACCACAGAGGGUAGGCUGAGUGCUCCCAUGAUCUUCCUGCUUGGUUCUUGCCCAUACAGAGGUCAGCCUUUCCUCUAAUAAAGAUUGAACAAGUAGUGGUCUGAGGG
rnacentral:lncRNA from 1 species